rnacentral:lncRNA from 1 species
UCCAUGCUAGAUAUAAAGGUCUGAGGAUGCAGAAGAAAAACAAAAAAAAGGAAAAGUGCAUUCUUCACAAGAAUUCAAGCACAACUCAUUCUUACACAAAUUUAUAGCUGUAAUAGGUUCAUAAAUGACACAAUACUGUAUGCUGUAACACACUUGAGCUGUAAUAGGUUCAUAAAUGACACAAUACUGUAUGCCAUAACAUACUUAACAGCUUACCACCAAACCAGCAAGCAUGGUCUAUAAUGGUAAGAAACACACAUAAAGGUUUCUCAGGUCUUCACAUGGAUGAGCAUAUCAUUUGAACUAAAUUUGC